rnacentral:tRNA from 1 species
GAGGGUAUAGUUCAGUGGUAGAGUGCAUGCUUAGCAUGCAUGAGGUCCUGGGUUCAACCCCUCAGCACCUCCU